AAUAAAGAGCCAUAAACCCGGUGACAACCGGAGGCAUAAAGUCACAGAGUCUAAGGCGUCUUAUAAAACGCAGCGAUAGCCUGGUUGCCAAA
rnacentral:ncRNA from 1 species